GUUGGCCGAGCUGCCCGUCAAUCCGAGCGGGGCGGGGGCGGAACUCGUCACGGGAGCUGGUCUGCCUGGUAACGGCGGAGAGGAGGCAGGGGGCGGGUGUUGAGUUGAGCUCAGCCAACGGCGGGCCGGGAGCUGGCGCCGCCAGCCAAUCAGAGACGGGGCGAGGUGACUCCGCGUGCGAGGGUGCCGAAGCCGCUUAGCAGAAUUGCCCUUUCGCAGAAAAGCGGCAUUGACCGUUGCGGCGUAGCGGGGCGCGUUCUUCGGCUGGGUUUGUUUGGGGGCCGCUCGGGCACUCAGGUCCCCGAGUCCCUGCCCCCCGCCCCCGAAAACCCGGGUGCCCGCCCCCUGGACUGUGAGGGCCCCUGGGGGCGUCUGGCUCCAGCCAGGGGAGCCCCCCUCCCCGGUGCCGGGAUGGCGCAGGAGGGGCUGCAGGGCCCUUUAUGGGACCGGGAGACUCCCCCUCCUUGCUCCUGCAGCCGCACAGCCAGGGCAGGCGAAGCUCGGGGCAGCCGAGGCCUCGGGCUGGGCCCGCGGGGCGCCGGCCGUCGCAGGGUUUGGAAGCCUCUGAAGGCGCGGCGGGGCGGGGGGACACGGGACGCUUGCCGGUAGCAGGGCCACGUGUGGUCCUUGCGUGAUUCGAAUGGAUUUGGGCCUGAUCGGGCUAAUUUGACCCGGGACACGAAAAAACCUCCUUAAAAAUCAAGAAGAAAUCCAGUGCUCGGGCCGGCGGAGGUUGCCGCGGCGCGGGGCGGGCGGGCGUUUUGCGCUCUGCGGUGCGAGUGAAGGUCUGUGAUGGCAGGUGACUAGGUGGAGGUGCGAAUAACUCUUACUUUUACGCAUAUACUAGCCAAUUGCCUGUCAAGAAUGACGGGGGUGGAGGGACAGGCGGGGACAGCCCUCCCCCCGACCUGCUCCUGCUUCCCUUCUGCUGCUUGGGUCUUGCCUGCUCCCCUCCCCACCACGGUGGGCCCGGGCCGCUCCCACACCCCGCAUUACCUGCAGGGAGCGGGGGGACGGGACCCUGCCGGCCUCGCCCCCCACCCCCCUCCGUCCAGGCCGAGGGCUGCCUUCUGUGAGAAUGUUUCUUUGCACUCUGAUUGGCUGUUUGUCAGCCAAUCAGAGCACAAAUAAAGUGUUACAGGCAGGCAGACAGACAGACUUAGGCUUUUAUAAUAUUUGAAUAAAAACAUACUUUUCUAAAAAAAAAUUGUUUUAAAUCCACCGCUUAGGCUCCACUCUCAUGGGUCUUGCUGCCUUGCGGAGAGGCUGUGCAGCCACAUGCACUGCUCCCAUGAGGAGAAGCACUGCUCUGCUCUCCAGCCUGGAUUCGUCCCAGCUGCUUUUACUUGCCCUUUCUUCUGCCGACCUUGCCAUUUCCUUCCAGGGGCCGAUCCCACCCUCCUCCCCAGCCCUGGGCUCCUGUGUUCCAGGGAUGUGUAUGGGCCACAGUUGUGCCCCAUGAAUGGAGCCUGCGAGCUGUCCCACUGCCCCGCCAUGGGGUCGGCUCUGCCCCUGCCCAGCCUGGCAGCCCUCCACAGCACCUGCUCCUGGGGGCUGUGACCAACCCAGGGCCUGGAUCUGCGUGUUUCGGGGUCUCACACUACAGCUCACGUGUGGCUGUAAGCUCUGCAAAGUCGGCAGCACUGGAGGCCAUAUGCAGUUUGGCUACGAUGGGAUAGACUUUCAUCAGCUAUGACCUGAGAUUGCACACCUGGGUAUCAGCCCCAACACAGGCCCAGGUCACACAUGCCCUGCACAGGCCCUGCAGAGCAGUGAGUCCAGGUGUCACCGCCGUGCGCAGCACUGACUGGGGCACCGCUCCCCCAGGGAACGCCUGCCCCACCCCCCCCGUGUCUGGGGUGGCAAGCACUGUGUCUCGGUCCUGCCACUGGGUGAGACACCAGCACUGCUGUGGGACACAGUGUGCCCUGUCCCUGCCCUGGUCAGGCCUCCCAGUAGGCCAGAGCCCACAGGGUGUCCGUGCCCCAGCCGUGUGUCUGAGAACCAGAGAUCGGCUAUACUGGACCCUGUUCCUGUAGCCCCGAGCCCAGUGCAGCCAUGUCUUGCGUCCCCUGUGCUCCUGCCCCAAUGCUGUCUGUUCCUGCCUGAAAUGGGAGCUGGAGCCAGUUUGUGUGGCUCAGCCUGGCCUCCUGGCAGGGAUCCUGAGAGUGGUCCCAAUGGUGGUCACUCUAAUAGGUGUCUCCUCCCUUCCAGAGCGUCCAGUGGCACAGGUGAGCAACAAGCCAUCAUCCCCGGGUGGACACACCAUCUCGUCCUGCUGGGUCCACGGCUUCUACCCCGAGAAUAUCUCUGGCGUCUGGCUGAAGAACGGGGAGGCACAGGUCCAGGACACGAGUCGCUUGGGGCUUGUUCCCAGCAGAGACAGGACCUAUCAAACCUGGGCCACCAUCAAGAUCAAAUGGAGCAGCAACCACGAUUAGCACACCUGCAGUGUGGCGCUGGUGAGCCUGGGUGCUGCCUUGAGAGUAGCCUGGGACAAGAGCAGGACGGGGAGCAGCUCGGGCUCCAACACCGGGAUCAAAGGUAAGUGCAGGGGUCUCCAGUCCAAGGGACCCUCCAGUGGGGACACUGUCCUUCUGACAAGCCAACCCUGGGAGAUCCAAGUCACCCUGGGCCAGGGUGGCUGAGUACCAGGAGAGCUGCGUGGCUGGGUCUGCAUCAGCCCCUGCACUCCUGGGGGCAGAGGGGCAGCGUGGGGCAUGUCUGUCACCAUCCUAGGCAGGCUGAGCUCCAGGAAAGGGGCUGCAGCCUGGGCACUGCCGGAAGCAGAGCUAGUGCAGUGCAGGGGACCCAUCAGUGGGAGGUGUGUUGGGAAGGGGCAUUUUUUUUGUAAAAAUAUGUUUUUAUAUAUACAUAAAAUGCAUAUAUACACCUUCCAGUCACCUUUUACUUCACUCACACCACAAAACCCAUAAACCCAUUACAAAACCCACACCCACAGGCCCACACUCCCAUGCAGCCUCCCUAUCCAGAACACGCAGUGCCUUAGUCCAGUGAAUCAGUUUUUUAAAGUUUGUUUGCAACCCUUUCGUAUACAGGCAGUCCUCAGACUUACACCACUAUUGGUUCAUGAAACUUUGUAACUCGGAAUCGAUUUUUCCCAUAGGAAACAAUGUUAUAAAUGGGGGAUUGGUUCCUGAACCAAGGCCCAAUACCCUAUUUUCACCAAAAAUAACCCAGAAUUUUGUACUCUAUCAAUUAUAGUUGAGUAAUAUAGCUACAUUAAUGCAUUUAUAUUGUAGAUAGCAAUCAUAUUGUUUGGAAGGACUUCUUCAAGGUGACUUUGCUGGACUUUUUGAAGGGUUCUUGGCUGGAGUCUUCUCAGGAGUGCUGGCUGCAGGUUCGUCUGGAGUCUCGUCUGCUUUUUUAAAGAAAGUGUCCAAGGAGACGUUCUCCAGGGAGAUGGGUGACGCAGCGAACAUGUUCGCUGCCGUGGCUUGGUGUCAGAUCAAGUGUUGUAAAGUCGAAACUGACGUCAGAAAGUUGAAACAGGGUGUCAAUUUAUAAACAUUGUAAGUGUGAAACGUUGUAACUCGAAACGUUGUUAAGUCGAGGACUGCCUGUAUUCUUGUGACCCACGGGCUGAGAACCGCUGCUUUAGUCCACCCCCUGGUUACGGGGUUUAAAAUCUCAGUUCAUCUGGUGUCAGUGUCACUGUCCCUCCCGCUGGAGGAGCCACUGCUGCUGUCCUCCUUUGUCCUCUUCAGUCUCGCUAUCCGUCUCCCUGCUGGGGGAGGUCUUGGAAGAUCCUGUGCCAGGUGGAUUUGAGUGUGUCCUCACUGCCCUCUGCUAUCAAUUUCUGGUUGUAGAACUGGAGUUCACUUAGGACCAUUUUCCCCCUGAAAGCUGUCAAAGAAAGAUAAUUUUUUUGUGAUUUCUUAGUUGGUUGAAUAAAAAGUAUCAUCUCUGACCCAA